rnacentral:rRNA from 1 species
UGAGGAAUAUUGGUCAAUGGACGAGAGUCUGAACCAGCCAAGUAGCGUGCAGGAUGACGGCCCUAUGGGUUGUAAACUGCUUUUGUUUGGGAAUAAUCGACAUUACGUGUAAUGUUUUGCAUGUACCAUUCGAAUAAGGACCGGCUAAUUCCGUGCCAGCAGCCGCGGUAAUACGGAAGGUCCGGGCGUUAUCCGGAUUUAUUGGGUUUAAAGGGAGCGUAGGCUGUCUAUUAAGCGUGUUGUGAAAUUUACCGGCUCAACCGGUGGCUUGCAGCGCGAACUGGUCGACUUGAGUAUGCAGGAAGUAGGCGGAAUUCAUGGUGUAGCGGUGAAAUGCUUAGAUAUCAUGACGAACUCCGAUUGCGCAGGCAGCUUACUGUAGCAUAACUGACGCUGAUGCUCGAAAGUGCGGGUAUCAAACAGG